GACGAACGCUGGCGGCGUGCCUAAUACAUGCAAGUAGAACGCUGGGGAGAGGAGCUUGCUCUUCUUGGAUGAGUUGCGAACGGGUGAGUAACGCGUAGGUAACCUGCCUUGUAGCGGGGGAUAACUAUUGGAAACGAUAGCUAAUACCGCAUAACAAUGGAUGACACAUGUCAUUUAUUUGAAAGGGGCAAUUGCUCCACUACAAGAUGGACCUGCGUUGUAUUAGCUAGUAGGUGAGGUAAUGGCUCACCUAGGCGACGAUACAUAGCCGACCUGAGAGGGUGAUCGGCCACACUGGGACUGAGACACGGCCCAGACUCCUACGGGAGGCAGCAGUAGGGAAUCUUCGGCAAUGGGGGCAACCCUGACCGAGCAACGCCGCGUGAGUGAAGAAGGUUUUCGGAUCGUAAAGCUCUGUUGUAAGUCAAGAACGGGUGUGAGAGUGGAAAGUUCACACUGUGACGGUAGCUUACCAGAAAGGGACGGCUAACUACGUG
rnacentral:rRNA from 1 species